CUCCCUCACCAUCCAGUAGCACCAAAUAUCAGCCAGGUGAUAUUGUUCUAGUAUCAUCCCACUUCAUAGAGGCAGAAAAGGGUGAAGUCAGUUGUCUGAGGCUAUGCUGCUAGAGAGCUGGGCUUCAAACACAGGUCUGACUCCAGUGCCCACACUCACACCAGGCUCCCACACUGGUCGAUCCCUGCAUUUGGACAAGACAGGCACUGAGCCCAGGAAGAGGGGGCUAGUAGGAGCAGAGCAAGGCACAGAUCCCAGCCUCCUGGGAUGUGGCCUGGGAUUCCAUCCCUCCAUCCAUCCAUAUUUCUGUUCAUCUGUUUAUGUAUUCACCAAUCCAUUCAUCCAUCUAUACUUUUGUCCGUCCAUCUAUCCAUCCAUUCAUCUAUAUUUUUAUCCAUUCAUCUAUAUUUUUGUCCAUCCAUCUAUCCAUCCAUUCAUCUAUAUAUUUGUCCAUCCAUCUAUCCAUCCAUUCAUCUAUAUUUUUGUCCAUCCGUCCAUUCAUCCAGCCAGUCAGCCUCCUAUCCACCAACAUGUUUGUCUGGCUGUGUACUGGGAACCUGUUCAUGGGCCAGAAGCAAAAGUCUUCCCUGCAGCUCAUGGGGCUGGCAAUGGGGCUGACCCUUUGGCUCACCUCCCUGCCACACUCCACACUCCAGAGCCCACCAGGUAGCCUCACCCACCAGUUGCCCAUCGGAACGACACAUCCUGGGACUUCUUGUCAUCUCCUAUCCAAGAUUCCAUUAUAAGGUGUGAUUGCUGAAGUAAUAGACAGAUAACGGAUCAGUCCGAGCCCCGCCUGGCACACCGGGCAGCUGCCAGGUUUUUCCCAUUAGCCACAGGGCUUGACGGACAGUAAUGGAUUUCAUACUGAUGCUGGAGCCUGCGGUGGAUAAUUCCGUGAUAAUAGUUAAUCACCCACUGACGGGAGGUAAUGGGUAAUCACCAGGAAGAAAGCAAACCCAUCAGGGAGCCCUGGCCUCCACCCAGCCUGGCCCUACCUUUGUUGUGCCAACUGCCACUUUCCAACUCGAGGGCCAACUCCCGUCUAUGCCCUGAAGGAUGGCAGAGCUGCCGGUCCACUGCGCAUCAAGCCCCAGUCACCUUCCUUCCCACUGAGACUUGCAGCAAACUUGAGAGAAGAAAAAGUGGAGUUUCAAGGACAAAGCAACCCAAUAUAUCCUCUAGUCCAGUCCUCCUAUGCACAGCCCCAGGCUCCAGGCCAGGAUAUCAGAGGGAGACUUUGGCCACAGUGUAUGUGCCCCGGCCAUGUUCUCCGCAUCCUAGAAACCACUCAUUGGAGCCAGGUUGGUGAUGACCCCUUGCCACCACCUUCCAUUGCCUUGCAAGGGUCCCCUGCCCCCAUCCUCACCUUUAUAAACACUUGAGUAUGCCAUCUGUCCCUCACCAGGACUUCCCCCAAUAGACACUGUCUCUUCCAAAUCUGCAGGAAAAAAAUAAAAUAAAAUGAGUGGAUACAAUUUUCUCCGAUUUCAGGAUUUUCCCCUUUUUAAUUUUGUUUUAAACAUUCAGGUCCUCCUUGUCUCUCACUACUCAGAGAGAAUAAAACAAAUGAAUAAGCACCAAA
rnacentral:lncRNA from 1 species